UACGUAGGGUGCAAGCGUUGUCCGGAAUUAUUGGGCGUAAAGAGCUCGUAGGCGGUCUGUCGCGUCUGCUGUGAAAACUCUGGGCUCAACCCAGAGCCUGCAUUCGAAACUGACGAGCUAGAGUUUUGGAGGGGAAAGCGGAAUUCCUGGUGUAGCAGUGAAAUGCGCAGAUAUCAGGAGGAACACCGGUGGCGAAGGCGGAUCUCUGGGCCUUACCUGACGCUCAGGUGCGAAAGCUAGGGGAGCGAACAGG
rnacentral:rRNA from 1 species